rnacentral:RNase_P_RNA from 1 species
GGAGUCGGCCAGACAGUCGCGUCAUCGGAAACGAUGCCGAGGAAAGUCCGGGCUCCACAGGGCACGGUGCCAGGUAACGCCUGGGCGGCGCGAGCCGACGGAAAGUGCAACAGAAAGAUACCGCCAGCGGUCCUUCGGGAUGCGGGCAAGGGUGAAAUGGUGCGGUAAGAGCGCACCGCGAGCCUGGUAACAGGCCGGCACGGCAAACCCCACCGGGAGCAAGGCCAAAUAGGGACCUCAUGACGUUGCCCGCGUCGGGUCCGGGUAGGCUGCUCGAGCGUAACGGUGACGUUGCGCCUAGAGGAAUGACUGUCCACGACAGAACCCGGCUUACCGGCCGGCUCCGCCA